CAGAGCAGCCCAAGAGAGGGGGAAGGUCCGGGAUGCAGAUGGGCAGCCUGGGUCCAGCUGAACAAAUCAGGGAGGGCUCGACUCAGAUCCUUCGUAGCCCUGUGAGCUCCUGCGAUUUCCUUUAGUUCUUUCACCAGCAAAUGAGCAAUAAUGACCUUAUUCCAAGCAUUCAAGAAUUGUGCGAAUUCAAGUCAAAUGUGAUCUGUGUGAACCACGGACACAAAGCAGCUUCUGUCAGGGAGCCCCGUCCAGAGGGCCUGCUGCUGGGACAGCCUCUGCAUGGUGCCUAUGAAGGCCCUGCUGGGAAACCAGGUAACUCAUUCUGGACCCUGGACGGCACCGGAGCGGGCAAGGUUGCCUAGCGGAGACUGUUUGCCUGCUGGCGACGCUCUCCCAAGAGACUGCUGAGUCAACGGAUCCUGUCCUGGAGCCUCCCAGCAUCUGGAGUGCCCCUGGUGUAGACCAUGCUGUGUGUGGCGCCCUCUGGAGGAACGCGGAGCCCCAGAGACCACUCUGGAACCAGUGAGCGCAGGACAAAGCCGGGAAUGAUCAGCCGUGUUUGCACUGGAGCUGUGGAUAAAUCUGGCAUGCUGGCGCGCGCCCUCUCGGUGGUAGGACCCGAGCAUAUUGGAUUUUCUCAUAAACUUCCAAUGAGAUCAGAUUGGCGGCAUCUCAAAGGAAUACCUCUUAUAUAAAAAAAGGCCAUAGAAUUUCCUGGAACUGUUUCUUUAAAAGUCUCACCUUACUGUACCAUGAAGGCUGUCCUUGGCAGUUCACCACGUUGUUAACUGAGCAACGGGAGAUUUCACGGCAGCCUCCCAGGCAAUCCACUCUCUUACGUAUUGGAAAAAACAGCUGAUCUCAUUGCAAAACUUCCCUGAUUUCAAGAAAAAGGAGAAAAACAAAACAAAACAUUAAAAGUACAAAGGCUAAUCUCACUCUGGAAUGGAUCUCCCAUGAGAAACUGAAGAUUUUGGCGAAGGGCUUUGAUCCCCUCUCAGGAAGAGAGAAGAGGAUAUCCUAGCUCUGACACAACAACGGAACAUGCCGAAUUCUGCCUGUCAGGUGCACGCAAAGAAGGUGGAGAACACUGCCCCUCGUCCCCCGUCAGAGAAGUCAGAAGGACCACGUGUGGGUGUGAUGCUGACAAGUCCGACAGAAGUUAAGUGGUUGAAAACCAGCAAGGGGAAGUUCCGCACCUGGUUCAAGCUCGCUUGCCUUGUACCCUCUGCUGCAGCCACCAAGAUGGAUGUCAUCAGCCAAAACCCCUACAGUCAUGCUAUCCUGAUGGGUGGUCUGCCUCUGAAGGCAGGACCACCAGUUCAAAGCAUACUCAGCCGGGCAGUCAACGCACCUGCUCUCUCCUUGUGUUUUAUUUUUCCCACUGGUCAGCAGGAUCACUGCACACCCUCUUCUCCCGCACCAAGCCCCCUGCUACCAAUAUCCCAGGUCUAGAUUUGAGUGGCUCGUUUUUGACAUUUCAGGGUCCCCUGAAGGUUAGUGGAUUCGCUCAAGUGUUCAUGCCUCCUCUACGGGAGAGCCUGGACCCCAAGUUCCUGAUAGGCUGUGCGCUUACCACUUGGUCUACACCCACAGCCCCCCAGCUGCACUGUGCGGAAGCCACGUGGGCACAUCUGCCUAGAGCGCAGGGAGGGAUAGGCUACAGGUGCUCAAGCAGAUGGUCCCUGGGGACCUCUGGCUCCCCAUCACCUUCGAGAAUUGUCAGUGUGUUUGCCACUGGAGAAAAGGAGGAGGGGAAAUUGACUAAAAGUGAAAGAGAGAGAGAGAGGGACAGACACCAUGGAAGACAGGCAGAGCUUGGAGAGCUGCUGCCACAGCCAAGGAGUGCAUGAGGUUGCUAGCAAUCCCUAGAAGCCAGGAGACAGGAGGGGGACACUUUUUCCCUUUGAACCCCCAAAAGGAACCAACAUUGCUGACACCUUGAUUUUGGACUUCUGAGCUCCAGACCUGUGAGAGAAUAAUCUCCUCUUGUUUCAAGCCACCCAUGUUGUGACCAACUGUUACGACAGACACAGAAAACCGAACACGAUGAUCAGAAGGGGGGGGGGGGGGGUUGGUAGCAUGGAGCUCAUUGGCUUGAAAUAAAUAGGCAGAAAAUCUAAUUCCUUAAAAUUUUAUUGUGUCUGGGGACAGUGGCUAAUGAAUUCUCUUGUUGACUCGUUGAAUACAUGUGUGAGGAUUGAUAACAAAAUGGCGAAGGAUUGUGGAGCGCAGGCGAAGGACAGGCUGGGAGGUCCCCCACGGCUGGGCCUGGCUGGCCUUACGGAGGCACGCAUUUCUAAGGCUUCCAACUUCUGUGGUGAUGAAGCUGGAGCACAAAUAUUUUGGAAAUUUUGUGCCCAAAUAAUUUUUGCGAACUCUGUUUUGGGUGAAAGACAGAAAUCUAUCAAACGUGCACAGAUUAACUUAUCACAGAGCUAAAUGGGCUGUCAGUGUGGGAGACGGUGGUUGGCCCAGUGAAUUCAAAUGCAUGUAAAUUUCCCUGGGGGCAAAGUUGAGGACGGCGGAGCUGUCAGACGGUGACAUGUGGAAAUACAUUAACAGUGUUUAAAAUAUAUUUGAUGGGGCCGCCUCAUAUUUUGAUAACAUGCCCACCGACAAAUGAUUUGUGGGGAUGGGAAAUUCUGACCUCCUCAUCUAUUCCAGAGGAAUCUUUGUAAUGAGCCCCCAGGAUGUUGGGUGCUUUAGUUCUAAAACAAUUACCAAUGCCAGCUUGCACUGGCGAAGGUCCCCUGUGUCACGGAUGUGUGGAGCUGGGUUCUGAUAGCCUGCUUGUCACCAUCACUCUUGAUUACAAGGAAAGUGAUUAAAAACUUCAAA